rnacentral:rRNA from 1 species
ACUCCUACGGGAGGCAGCAGUGGGGAAUAUUGCACAAUGGGCGCAAGCCUGAUGCAGCCAUGCCGCGUGUAUGAAGAAGGCCUUCGGGUUGUAAAGUACUUUCAGCAGUGAGGAAGGUGGGUAUGUUAAUAGCAUAUUCAUUUGACGUUAGCUGCAGAAGAAGCACCGGCUAACUCCGUGCCAGCAGCCGCGGUAAUACGGAGGGUGCGAGCGUUAAUCGGAAUUACUGGGCGUAAAGCGCAUGCAGGUGGUUGUUAAGUCAGAUGUGAAAGCCCGGGGCUCAACCUCGGAAUUGCAUUUGAAACUGGCAAACUAGAGUACUGUAGAGGGGGUAGGAAUUUCAGGUGUAGCGGUGAAAUGCGUAGAGAUCUGAAGGAUACCGGUGGCGAAGGCGGCCCCUGGACAGAUACUGACACUCGAGAGUGCGAAAGCGUGGGAGC